rnacentral:lncRNA from 1 species
UUACUUAAAACCAUAUGAACUAUCAUUAAAAUUGAUAUAAUAAUAAACUUUCAUCAGUCAAACAAUUGAAACAUUCACAUUUAUAACUACAUGUAAAUGGAAUAACAACUAAUCAAUAAAAUACAAUUACAAAUACUUUUAUUAAAACCAUUUAAAAUGUUUCAAUGAAACAUAGGUGGUUUCGUGGUGUAGUUGGUUAUCACGUCAGUCUAACACACUGAAGGUCCCCAGUUCGAGCCUGGGCGAAGCCAAAUGGUGUUAACUCUAAUUUAAAUUUUAAUGCUUACCACUAUAUUUUUGUAAAUUUUACAAUGCAUCAACAUUAAUUUCAAAAGUUAAUUUACAAUUUUGUGAAUCAACUAAAUAAAAUUUAUUUUCUUCAAUGAGCCAAAGAGACAUGUCGUAAGAGAGAAUAUAGCUACAUUACAUAUUAUUUAAAAAUGACUAGGAUGAAGAACGAAGUUGAUUAAGCACUUUGAAGACUAUAGACACAUUGCGAUCAAAACCGUACCAGACAGGCCGCUAUGACUAGUUGAAGAGAAAACGGAACAGUGUCAUGUCCAAUUAAACAUAAUAACCUAUAAAACAAAACCAUAAAAAUCGAUUGCGAACCGCUGAAAUCGAAAAAAAUCAGCGUUUCAGAAGGUUCAUAGUCUGGGAUAUAGAAUAAAUCAUCUUUUCAAGUCUUAUAGAGAGACUGACUCGUCUUUUUAUCUUGAUGAGUGUGGAAGUAAAGGAUAAAAUACUUUAACUGGGUGAUUGCCAAAUGUGGGAGGCAAGAAAAAGAAUAGAAGUUGUUGAAAAGAGAAUAAGUUACCAAACAAUACAAAUCUAUGUUAUCUUUGGUGGAGGCCGAGUAAAUGGAGUAUAGAAUAUUGUUUUCAAUUUAUUAUAGUUGAAGUGGAAUUUAAUGGAUAGUCCCAUACUACCUUUUUUUUAUGUUCACAUUAAAAAAAAUCGUUAUUUAUUUGUGUUAUGAUUAUGUAGUAGUUUAAAGUGUCAUAAAAUUCUUUUUCCAAACUAAAACUUCGUAUUGUGAAUUAAGAGAUUAUGACUAAGUCCUAUGAAUAAUCUUUCUAUUAAAAACAAUUUAAGAUCAAAUACCAAAUUUAUUCCUUGUGUUUAUUUACAAAUUCAAUACUCACUCGUGUAGUACUACCAUAUUUGUAUAAAAUAUGGAAAUUUUAUUUCUUUGGUAAUAAAACAAAUAAAUAUAUCUUAUAUUAAAUUAAAAUUGUCAAAUGAAUUGUUUCCGAUUCGACAUUGGCUCGACUCUAGCCAAAACUUAAAACCUUACACUCUUAUCUACACCAAUUUAUUGUUUGGUUCAGUUUUAACUAUUGUUAUAUAUACAAUGAAUUAGGUAGCAAAAUCCAAAAGUGUUCAACCCAUAAUUAGGUCUCAUACCAUAAUUGACUCUCACAACACUCCUAUUUAAAUAUGUGAUUAAAUUCACUGUUAACUACUUUACUUAACUAGAAUUCAUUUAAAUUCUCAACAUUAUCUAUUACUUAUUUUCUGAACAUAACCCCUAAUUCUUAUUUUCUUUCUUUUCUGAAAUCUAUUUUAUAUAAAUAUACUACUCCAUCAUUCUAAUUUAAAAUUGUCUUUAAUGAUAUUGACAUAUUUCUUAUAUUAAUAGUUAGUUUUGUUGACUUCCAAUAUAAAAUCAAUAUUAUUUAAUAAUAUAUUUUUAAUAAUAGAGGUCAGAGGAAUGCAUAUGUGGGUAAAGGUUUAAAAAAUAAUGGUAACUUUGGGGGGGAAAAUAAUAAUAAAUUUUUCUUUGGUAUUUUUAAUGGACAAAUGAUUUUAAUCAAAUUUUUGUUUUUUCAAAACUGACACAUAUUAUGAGUCUUAUGGAUUAAUUAAUUCUCUUUCGCGAAAGGUCGUGUUACUUAAAACCAUAUGAACUACCAUUAAAAUUGAUAUAAUAAUAAACUUUCAUCAGUCAAACAAUUAAAACAUACACAUUUAUAACUACAGGUAAAUGUAAUAACAAUUAAUCAUCAAAUUACAAAUACAAAUACUUUAAUUAAAACAACUUAAAAUGUUUCAAUCAAAUAUAGGUGGUUUCGUGGUGUAGUUGGUUAUCACGUCGGUCUAACACACUGAAGGUCCCCAAUU